AUGAAAUGAAAACAAAUUUUAUUUCUCUAUGAACAAGUCUGACACUGUAAUGCAAAAGUUUUAUAUACAACCUCAAGUUGAAACAAUCUCUAAAAAUACAUUAUUCACAUACCAGUAUUGGCUACAUUCACAUCUAUCAUUUAAAACAAACAAAGACUAUCUGGCAAUACAUUAAAUGUUAUAAUUAUAUAUAUUUUAGUUAUACUGCGUAAAAUAAAGGUUACAAAUUUGAUGUAAAUACUAGUGUGUGUACAACUACUUUAAAAGUAUUUGGGCCAGAGCAAUAAAAUUGAGAUAGGCUGAAAUAAGUAAAUCACAAAUACAACAGCCAAUCAGAAUGUGCAUUGUUAAUCUCAUCAUCCAAACAGAACAUUAGAAGGAGUGGA